AACGAACGCUGGCGGCAUGCCUAACACAUGCAAGUCGAACGAGACCUUCGGGUCUAGUGGCGCACGGGUGCGUCACGCGUGGGAACCUGCCCUUAGGUUCGGAAUAACUCCCCGAAAGGGGUGCUAAUACCGGAUAAUUUCUUCUGACCAAAGAUUUAUCGCCUUUGGAUGGGCCCGCGUUGGUUUAGCUAGUUGGUAGGGUAAAAGCCUACCAAGGCGACGAUCCAUAGCUGGUCAGAGAGGAAGAGCAGCCACACUGGGACUGAGACACGGCCGAGACUACUACGGGAGGGAGCAGUGGGGAAUAUUGGACAACGGGGGAAAGCCUGAACCAGCAAUGCCGCGUGAGUGAUGAAGGCCGUAGGGUUGUAAAGCUCUUUUACCCGGGAUGAUAAUGACAGUACCGGGAGAAUAAGCUCCGGCUAACUCCGUG
rnacentral:rRNA from 1 species